AUGGCUCAGGACGAACGCUGGCGGCGUGCCUAACACAUGCAAGUCGAACGGACGAGGGGAGCUUGCUCCCCAAGUUAGUGGCGGACGGGUGAGUAACACGUGAGCAACCUGCCCUUCGGAGGGGGACAACAGUUGGAAACGACUGCUAAUACCGCAUGAAACAGCUGGGAGGCAUCUCCUGACUGUCAAAAGAUUUAUCGCCGAAGGAUGGGCUCGCGUCUGAUUAGAUAGUUGGUGAGGUAACGGCCCACCAAGUCGACGAUCAGUAGCCGGACUGAGAGGUUGAACGGCCACAUUGGGACUGAGAUACGGCCCAGACUCCUACGGGAGGCAGCAGUGGGGAAUAUUGGGCAAAUGGGGGCAACCCUGACCCAGCAACGCCGCGUGAAGGAAGAAGGCUUUCGGGUUGUAAACUUCUUUGACGAGGGACGAUAGUGACGGUACCUCGAAAACAAGCCACGGCUAACUACGUGCCAGCCGCCGC
rnacentral:rRNA from 1 species